UCUAAUUUUACACACGGGCGUUUUACGACAUCUUUGACGCAACGAGCGUAACGAGAUUAGUUCCGGAGCAGGUCGAGGUGGCAGACCCAGAAGACAUGCGCUUCUGGAGAGGAGAGCGGCAUUAUGACCCGAAAAGCCGCAUGAAAACGCACUCUUAUUUUGCACAGCCUCGCUGAAGAGGAGUCGCCAUGGUCUCCUGAAGCUGCACACGGCGAGCGGAGCGGCUGCGAAAGAAGCGCAGGAGCCGCCACCGCAGCUCUCCACGUGGCCGCCGCGUCCGACAGCGAGAUGGACUGAGACGACGGCUGCAGUGAAACAGCACCGUCUCCUGGCUCUGUGGACAUGACAGGUCCUCCUGCUGAGGCACACACCGGUUUACGGAGAAGAUCCAGCGUGGAUCUUACUGUCUUUAACAUUCUUGAGUCACAAUUUUGUCUUUAUUUUAAAUCUGUUGUUUAAUCAUGCAGAACUAGUUUUGCACUGGUUAAAAUAAAGCUGCUUUGAGCAUGUUUUUAUUGAUUUCA